GGAGUGGGCUAGUCCCCCGGGUUGGUCACCGCUGAACUCUCAGACAAUCAAGCUUUCGAUGAUCAUGUGAUGAGGUUUCCAGUCAGUUCCAGGUGAAGAUAUCGCUGGCCAUCAAGAAGCUACCCUCUCCCCACCAGACAGAGCAGGAUGAGAGUUCUGUAAUCCUCAAUAGGAGGGAGCACUCAACUGAACAAGUGCAGGAACAGGCUGGCUGCUUCAGCACUGACAGAGGCAAAUUCCAUUUGCUUGGACCCACUGCAUUCCAUCCCUUGUGGAAGAGAGCAUGUAAGCAAGACAGGACCUUCAGGCCUCUAAAAAAAGUAUCAAAUAACUGAAACUCACCAGAUCGCCUCACCAGAUGCUGGACCCCUCAUUCACCAUGAUUGCUUCCUUGCCUCUCCCUAGUUCUUAUUUUCUUACACAUUGUUACAUUUCUUCCCUGCUAUGUAAACCCCUAGUUCUAGUCAGUCAUGGAGAUGGAUUUGAGACUGAUCUCCCAUCCCCUCAGCUGCACCACCUGAUUAAAGCCUUCUUCCU
rnacentral:lncRNA from 1 species